UCGCAGAUGAGUUCAAUAAGCGCUAAAAAGGUUACGAAGUUGUGAAAGUCAGUUUAAAACCCAUAGUAGAAGCUUAUUUUAAAUCAACAUUUAUUUGGGGUGUUAAGGAUUAUAGGUUACCAAGCAUUGAAGGAAAAUUUUUUAUUUAAAUAAGUUACGGUUAACGAUUUUACUUUCAAGUUUAUGAAAGUAGUGGACGACAAAACAUCGUAAACAAUGUUCGACCACUCAUCUCAGCUUCUACAGAAUACUUCUAAAACGAUGAGAGAAGGAAAACCCCUUCAGAGAUUUCAUGUAGAAUCCAUGGUAUUUUACUGUUACACCUUCCGUGGGACACUAUGUAUAUUGCAUUGACUUCAGCGUAAUAUUUCGGCGUGUGUGAGAGCGAGCGAAACAGACUGAGAUGUAAUUGGAGUUGCGGCGGGGCGGCGGUGCGUGACUGGGAGCCGACAUCACACCACCACAGCCGCACAGUCUGCAUCGGCAUCGGGUGGUCGCCAUCCGCCAUUACGGCACUCCCACCCCGCACCAUUGAGUGAUGCGGGCCCCAGGGAGUGGCUCUCAGCUCUCAACACAACGCCGCCGAAACCAAACCAAUGA